UACAGGGGGGGCAAGCGUUGUUCGGAAUUACUGGGCGUAAAGGGUCCGUAGGCGGCCAACUAAGUCCGACGUGAAAUCCCAAAGCUUAACUUUGGAACUGCGUCGGAUACUGGAUGGCUUGAAUUCGGGAGAGGGAUGCAGAAUUCCAGGUGUAGCGGUGAAAUGCGUAGAUAUCUGGAGGAAUACCGGUGGCGAAGGCGGCAUCCUGGACCGACAUUGACGCUGAACGACGAAAGCUAGGGGAGCAAACGGG
rnacentral:rRNA from 1 species